rnacentral:rRNA from 1 species
AUGCGCCCAUGUCAUUCUGAAAACACUGGUUCUCGUACGAUCACCGAAGUUAAGCAUCAACAUGCGUGGUCUGUACUAGGAAGGUCGAAUACCUAGGAAUACCGCGUGCCGUU